UCCGAGUUGACCCCGGCAGUCUCCUACGAGUCCCCGCCAUUACGCGCUGGCAACAUAGGACAAGGGUUGCGCUCGUUGCGGGACUAACCCAACAUCUCACGACACGAGCUGACGACAGCCAUGCAGCACCUGUCUCCAGGUUCCUUGCGGCACCCCCAAAUCUCUUCGGGGUUCCUGGGAUGUCAAGGACAGGUAAGGUUCUUCGCGUUGCAUCGAAUUAAACCACAUGCUCCACCGCUUGUGCGGGCCCCCGUCAAUUCCUUUGAGUUUCAGCCUUGCGGCCGUACUCCCCAGGCGGGGCACUUAUCGCGUUAGCUGCGACACGGAAGGGGUCGAUCCCACCCGCGUCUAGUGCCCAUCGUUUACGGCGUGGACUAC
rnacentral:misc_RNA from 1 species